CUAGGACACUUCUUUGUUAAAACCAUGAAGUUCCCGCUGUUCUUGUUUUCUUUGGUGGCCUUUCAAAAAUGGGUCCUUUCCGAUGUUCAGCUUGUUUCUUCUGGGCCAAGAACAGUGAGACCUGGAGAGAACCUCCGUCUGCUCUGUAAAGUUACUGGUGUCUCCAUCACUGAUUCAAGCUAUGUUUGGAACUGGGUCCGUCAGCCUGCUGGCAAAGGUCUAGAGUGGGUUGCAAGAAUAUACCCCUAUAAUGGGGGGAAAUGGUUUGCUGCUUCUCUUCAGAGCCGUGUCACCAUUUCUUCAGACAACUCCAAGAAUGAGUUCUCUCUCCAGCUGAACUCCCUGACAGUUGCUGACUCAGCCGUGUAUUUCUGUGCUCGAGAAGACACAGUGACACACGGCAAUUGGGACUCUGAACACUGGGGGAAAGGUUCUCAUGUUUCCCUAUGCAUGUAUGAAGCUAAACAUCAACUGGGAUGA